rnacentral:lncRNA from 1 species
AUCAGUAUGUUGUGCGCAUGUAGUCUGGGACCAGCCUCUCAAAAAUUCGUCACCAAAAGAAGCUACAAAAUAAAAAACAGACAGAAGAAUCUCCACUACUGUUGUAUUUGUACUUGUAUUUGUGUGUGUAUUCUAUUCUAUAUAAGAUGGAGUCGUCAUUAAAAGGCAAGAAAAACCAAAAACGUCUGUUUAAAUCUUCCAACAUGAUAAAGUCUGUUGAUGAAUCAGAGCACUUGGAC